GAGAAUGGGGUUCAUUAUUUUGGCAAACAAGAUGUCGGGGUUCAAAUGCGGUGAUCCGGGAUCACUUGCGCGAAAGGAAGUUUCGGGAAAAAAAAAAAAAAGAGGAAAAUUUAUCAGUCAGAAAAUUUCGGGGUUCAAGAAAAGCAAAAAAAAAAGAGAAGUAAUAAUAAUCCCCAGCGGAUGUGGUGUUCAGGCCAUGGUUAUCCCUGCGUUACCAUUUAUUUUGG
rnacentral:lncRNA from 1 species